AGGAGGAACAACCGCAGUGGCGGGGCCAGCUCUGGAGCCCUGGAUUCAGCCCCCGCAGGAACUCCGGAGCUCUCAGCCUGCAGGGCCUGGAGGCUCCGGGGCGGG
rfam:Canis lupus familiaris chromosome 5, whole genome shotgun sequence.